AGAGUUGUGACAUGUUUAUUAUUACAAGCUUGUGCAGAGAUUCUAUGAUAGAGCUUUAUCCAUGUUUGAAAAGGUAAAGCAAGUGAAGAAGGAGUAGACAAAAGAAGUGAAGUACUUUAGAUAUUGGUUGAUGGUUGCAAGGUCUUUAGAUGUUCUAGGAAUUUUUUAUUUUAGAAGUUCUACGUAUGUCAACUCUUUGAAGUUGUCAAACAGUAUUGUACAAUUUUCUUUAAUAAAAGAUAAUACUACUUGAUUAUUUGGAUUGUGA